GUCAGUCUGCAAGAAUGGCGACCAUGGUGGAAGAACAGAAUUCGAUUGACAUGGGGGAAGAUAAAGAAUCACAAUUCGACCAAGUCACUUACAAUUGGGUGGAUAUUACUCACGAAUUUUUCGAAGCCAUUACAGAGCUGGAAUUGGGAGAACUUUUACACGAUGAGUUGUUUGGGUUGUUUGAAGCAAUGUCUGCAAUUGAAAUGAUGGAUCCAAAAAUGGAUGCUGGCAUGCUGUGUAAUAGAGGAAACAACAAACCAUGCACUUUCACACAGGCUGUUGAUUCUGGCACAUUAAAGUUGGACAAUUUGACCCCAUCUGAAGUUAUAGGAAUAAUAGAUUCAACUUAUGCGUGUAUAGUGUCUUGGCUCGAAGGUCAUAGUUUGGCCCAAACAGUUUUUAUCAAUUUGUACCUUCACCAACCCGGUCAAAUAGUAGAUAAAUCCCUGAAAACCUUUUGUUAUGCUGUGUAUAAAAUUAUUGAAAUAAUUAAAGACUGCAUCAAUAAAGCAUUAGUUUUCGAGGAAGAAGAUUUUCAAAGUGUUACUUAUGGCUACAAAUUGCAACAGGAUAUUACAGAACAGAAAACUAUAUCCAUGCUGCGAGAAGUAGAAGAAGAAUUGCAUAGGAAAAGUAGAAUAAAACCAGUUGAUGUAGAAUCUGAGAAAGAAUAUAACGAUGGAUUAGCAUUAUAUGCUAGAAUUAGAUUCACUAAAAUGUUUUAUCAAAUAUUGACAUUAAUGGGGAAAAAAGAACAAUUACAGCAGAACUUAAAUGAUUGUCAUAGAUUAUUAUCAAAUUGUUCAUACAUGAUUCAAGUUAUGAUUAAGACAGUGAAUCGUGGAGAGAAAGCUGAUGAGAUAUCAAAUUAUCCAAACAUCAUGGGAUUUGAUCCUAUGGUAAAUCAAAGAUUAUUACCACCAACAUUCCCUCGGUAUACUAAGAUAAAACCAAGAACAGAGGCCCUAAAAUAUUUAGAUGACUUACUAAACAGAUUUCGUACUGUAACUAUGAUCACUAAUCAAAAUGGAUUUCAUGCAGCUUUGGACUUUUUUUUAGAAUUUUCACGACAAAGUCCAUGUAUAUUAUCCAGAUCAAUGCUGCAAAUAGUUUAUUUGCCCACAACAAAUCGGGUGUUUGGCGUGCAACAUUUUUCGGAUGUUCUGAAAGAUGCAGCACGAAAUUUCAUUGCGCCUCCAGUUUUAAUGCCAAAGAGUACAUUACUUCAAAAUCAUCAAGCCAAGGAUUAUGUUGAUAAUUUUUUAUCUCAUUGUGUUAGCUUAUUUGGCAGUUUAUUACAACUUACCGGUCAUAAUAGAGCUAGACAAAGAGAUAAAUUGGCACAUUUAUUGGAGGAUUUUGCAACGUUACAGGAUGAAGCUGAAAGGGUAGACGCAUUUUUACAUACUUUGUCUUUAAAAAGUGAUACACCUAGAUCACACCUAGCUUGUUUUGGAACAUGGAUUUUGUAUCAUACAUUACGAGUUAUGGUCAUGUACUUGUUAAGCGGUUUUGAGCUUGAGUUGUAUUCGGUACACGAAUACCACUACAUAUUUUGGUACCUGUAUGAGUUUCUUUAUGGAUGGCUCGUAUCGGCCAUCACGAGGGCAGACACGUUCUUAAUGGAUCAAGAUGUACAUAAUGAUAGAGAAGUACAUAAAGGUAGAGGAGGCAAAAAGAGUGCUAAAAAUAAGAAAAAGAAGUCAACACCCAGACCGUAUGACUUGGAAAUAUUAAUGUAUCAAGCUAUGCAAAAUAUAUGUGGUGGAUACUAUAAAGCCUUAGUAGGUUUUCGUAUGGAUGGGAAAAUACCACUUCCCGAGAUGCAAUUUGACUCGGAACGAGUUCGAUACGAGCAUAGGUUACUACCGUUUUCUUCAUUAUUGACUCCGCCACCGGUAAAUUAUCAAGAAUUUUUAGAUAUAACCAAUGCACAGAUGCAUAAAAGAAACGAGAAGGUCACUAGUGCAACACUGUAUGUAGCUGGGUGCCGUCAUUUUCAUCAAGCUAGGAAUAUGUUGGAAAGAUCAUUGUCCCUUUAUCCGCCGAACGCUAGUACCGUGAAUGAGAUUAAUGAUUUAUUAAAAGUGGCGAAAACGAAUUUUGUGGUUCUAAAAUUACUUGCUGAUGGGCAUAAAAAGGAUUCUAAAAAACCUCCAGUAUUUGACUUUUCUUGUCAUCAACAUUUCCCACUGAUAAAACUAACUUAAAAAAAUUUCAUUUGUAAUAGCCAUCAUUUCAUGCUAUAAACGACAUAUUAUUUAUUCUAGCUUUAACCGUGUAAAAAAAUAUUUUUUGUGUUGUUGACUUUGGAUGCACUUUUACUUUCAUUUAAUACAACCUUUGAUGCUCUUCCCCUUUUUUUGUUUUAUUAACGAGCACCCCCCUUCAUUGUACAAAUGUGUAUUAUUUGUCGUGCAUAUUUUGUGGAUAAAUUUCUAUACAAAAUGAAAACGAUAUUUGUAUAUAGUUUAUCACAAGUUGUAUAUGUUUUUAAGUGAGUUCAUGUGGAUACUGAGAAUGAAUGUUUGAGGAUGAGGUUUGUGAAAUUGACGAGUCGCUGUGAAAUGUAAAUAAAAAAUGUAGAAUGUAUAGUUUCGAAAUAUUGUAUAGUAACACGUUUUAUUAGUGAAAUUGUUAACGAUUCUUGUUAGAGAUAUGUGUAACAUUUGAGGGACACUGAAGGCUUCGUCUACGAGAAUACAGGUUCUGAUAACAAUCUUUUUUACACGAUAAUUUCAUAAUUUUAUUAAUCUCAUGUGACCUAAUUUGUUUUCGUCUACGAGCAUCCGUAGCUCUAAACAUCUAGACGAAAAUGCUAUCGUUUAUAUACAUUGUUAAAUUCUGUACUAUAUGCACGAAAAUUGUAAUAUUGACUCGAAGCAAUGAAUCUGAAUGUAAAAUUAAUAAUUGACAAAGAAAAUAAGAUGCUUGUAAAUCGCAAGAUUCAUGUGAGAAGUUGACAUGAAAGUUACACUUGACGCGCACAAACACAUUUCCGAAAACAAAUGAAAUUAGUAGCAGAUUUUGUACUCGAAAUCGAACUCGCUGUACAACCUAUUAUUUUCUGAAGUCGAAUAAAAGAUUUUGUUGCUGUA